rnacentral:rRNA from 1 species
UACGAAGGGGGCUAGCGUUGCUCGGAAUUACUGGGCGUAAAGGGCGCGUAGGCGGAAUGGCAAGUCGGUCGUGAAAUCCUUCGGCUCAACCGAAGAACGUCGAUCGAAACUGCCGUUCUUGAGGAUUGCAGAGGAGACUGGAAUUCCCGGUGUAGCGGUGAAAUGUGUAGAGAUCGGGAGGAACACCGGUGGCGAAGGCGGGUCUCCGGGCAAUUCCUGACGCUGAGGCGCGAAAGCGUGGGGAGCAAACGGG